GAAAAGACUCCAAAAUACCUUGAUGGUGUUCUUGCAACUUGUAAGAACCAAGCAUUUCACCAAGAUGGCACAGAGAGCCAGACACAGGAACAUAGAGAGCAAAUGGCAGUAUUUCCAGCAUCAAAGUGAAAGAGAUCAGGCUGUGAUUUCCCUCAGUGAAGCAUAUCCCAGGCCAAGAUGUCCGUGCUUCAGGUUUGAGGGAAUAAAGAAACAACUGAAAACACCCUUCGAACAACGUAAUGUUAUGGGCAGAAUGUUGCCUUUGAACUAACCCAUAAAACAAACUGGCUUCCUUUUAUUUAUUGCUUGCUGGUCUCAGUCUCUUUUUUAACCCAAUAAAGACAGAAACAUCAUAUGGUGAUUACUUGUUAGUUUUAUAUGGCAGUUUUCAAUCAAAGAACUUAAAUCUCUUAAUAAACUAUAAUUGUUUUCUACAAUACCCCAUUAUUAUCCCCAUUUGAGAUUAUAGAAUGUCAGAACUGUAAGGGACCCUAGAAGACAGAAGAAAGAACCUGUGUACAAAACUUGUCUCUUAGGAAAAUCAAGACCCAGAAAAACAAAGGAAUUUGCCCAACAUUAACUAUUCAAAUGCAUUUUCUUCCACUUAAAAAAUCCUUACACUAAUUUCCUCAACAUUUUUUUUCUUUAAAAAAUUUUUAGAAACUAUAGACUAAGAGAGCCAAAUGACUGUUCCCUUAUAAGGAACCAUUAGAUACAGACUUCUGGGUUCCACUCUUUUAAACUGAGAACAUGGGAGAAUUCUGCUAAGUGGGUAUUUUGAUAUCAGUCCAACCCAUGAAUACAUUUUUUGGAGAGAAUUUUAUUAACUCUUACAGACAAUGAAUCAAGUCAUAAAAUCUUAGAUUUGGAAGAUCACCUUGGAAGUCAUGGUGGUGAUAGCUUCCAUUUCCUGUCUUUGCAGUCUUUGCAGGCAGUUAGUGGGAUCGUGUACUAGAUGAGAAGUCAGGAAACUUAUUUGAAUGCUAACUCCAUUAUUCUAAUUAUAUUUGGGGCCCUACCCCCACAUUUCUUUCCUUGAAGCCUCAGUUUCUUUCAAUGUAAUGUGAGUAGCUUGAGCUGGAUGACCUCUAAGAUCUUUGUAGCUUAAAAUUUUCUGAUCUUCUCAAAAAAACAAACAAAUUUUGUGAUCCUCUAACUUCAGUAAGCAAAUAUUUCUUCCUUUUUACAGUUGGGGAACCUGGGGAAUCUAAGUCCUAGAGAGAAAAAGUGACAUAACUAACAAAUGAGUUAAGACUAUAACCAAUGUUUGAUCUCCAAGACCAGUUUUCUCAUUACUUCAAAAUAACUAAUAAGCUAAAAUAAUAAUGAAUAUUCAGGUAUGCAUGUUGUUUUUAGGUUGUUUUUUUUCUAUGUAGCUUUUGCUUCAUAUUUUCCAUAAGACAGGCUCCCCCCAAAAAAACCUCCCUCGAUACCAAAAUAGAAUAUUUGUCUAGUUCCUUUGUGAGGUCAGGAAGUGACCAUUUAUUGUCUAUCAGUACACCUCCAAGGAUAGGGUAAUUCUCAGUCUUUUGACAGAAUUUAUUUCAUUUUUAAACCACUGUUAGACUGACUAUAGCUAGAGGAGCAGCAUGUAGUGGGUUAUUUAAUUUUUGUUUUUAUUUCAUAAAAACUCCUCUGAUACCCCAUGGUAAUCUUGGAUGUGACCUUGGGUUCUUAAAGAUUCUGCCAGUGAAUACUAGUAUGUCAGGUUCCAUUUACGAUCUGUUGUCCAAAUCUAAGUGCGGAGAGCAAGACUUUUUAAGCACAAUAACUGCAGCCUGGUUUUGGGUUUUGAUGUAUUAAGGAUGAAAGAACUAUGCUUAGUGAUCCUACAAAUGAAGGUCUUGAUGGAAGAAUAACAAUCCGUGGUAUUGUUUUUAACUCUGUGGCUAUAGGUCAGUGUCACUUCUCUUCUCUGAGCCUCAAUUUUCUGAUUUGUAAAAUGAAGAUAACAAUACUUGUAUUUUUUAUAUCAUAGAGUUGUUGCAAAGAAAUCAUUUUCAGACUUUACCAUGCUGUUAUGGAGGUCAUUAUUACUGAACAGUUAUAAAUCACUUUACACACGCUGUUCUCUCACAAUAUCCCUGCCCACAUGAGCAAUUGUGCACCAUUUUAGAGCACAUAGAGAAUUGGUAAAAAUGGUUUCCUGAUGUGCCCAAAAGCAAUGAGAAACAUCGGAUCAGGGGACUUUUGUUCAUCUCCUCUUAUUGUGACCAUGGAGAACCUAAGCCAAAAGUCUGCCAUGAAGAAAACUAAAGCUUUUGAACCAACAUCUGUUGCAGAGGGUGAAGGGCUUAGUGAGAUGCUCCAAACAAGCCAGUGUGUGUAUAAUUACUGAUUUCAGGGCAGAUAGAGAACCAUAAUUCCAUUUCCUAAGAUGAUUUUUCCUGCUUGUGAGAUACAGAAAGAGACAACAUUCCACCACCCAGACAUUUUGUAUGGCUUUUUUCUGAGGGCAGUGAAUGGGAAAAUUCCACUCCUAUCCUGAUCUAGUCUGUGUCUGCCUACAGGGAAGAGAGAGAAAUGCCCUUCCAUUGGUCCAGUGGUUGGGCUGCCUGAAACCAGACCCCUAGGGAUAU
rnacentral:lncRNA from 1 species